AGUGAACACAGCUGGUGGUAUC
rnacentral:miRNA from 1 species